rnacentral:rRNA from 1 species
UCGAGAAUCUUUCGCAAUGGGCGCAAGCCUGACGAAGCGACGCCGUGUGAGCGAAGAAGGCCUUCGGGUUGUAAAGCUCUUUCGCUAGGGAACAAGAAAGAUAGAUGAAUAAGCUAUCAAUUUGAUGGUACUUGGUAAAGAAGCACCGGCUAACUCCGUGCCAGCAGCUGCGGUAAUACGGAGGGUGCAAGCAUUGAUCGGAAUUACUGGGCGUAAAGGGCGCGUAGGCGGCAAUAAAAGUCAGAUGUGAAAUUCCGGGGCUCAACCCCGGAGCUGCAUUUGAAACUUUAUAGCUAGAGUGCAGUUAGGGAAAACGGAAUUCCACGUGUAGCGGUGAAAUGCGUAGAUAUGUGGAAGAACACCGGUGGUGAAGACGGUUUUCUGGGCUGUAACUGACGCUGAGGCGCGAAAGCAAGGGGAGCAAACAGGAUUAGAUACCCCCGUAGUCC